UUCAGUGGAUUCCAUCCAGCUCCAUGGGUGUGUCUAAGUGGUAUAAUAGGUCAGUGGUGAUCCCCAUCCCUGUCUUCCAUUUCAUGAGGCUGGGGACCCAAAGAACCCAUCUUGCUAUUAAGGACAGAGGCAAAGAUGACACUAAGUACCUCUACCUUUUCCUCAUCCUUUGUCAUGAUGCAUGUCCCCACAUCUAUGAGAAUUCCAGCCAAAGCUCUCUGUUCAGCUAGGAUGCCCUUCUUCCACAUCAGCUUGUCUUUUGGCACAUGAGAACAGCCUCCACCCUGAAGACUUUCUUCUGGAAAAACCUGGACUCCUUUUCCAUUCAGAACUGCCUCCUAAGGGAUUUUGACAUCCAGGCCCCUUGACAGACCUUCCUAAAUCCAAGAUGGCAGUUAUGCUGACACCCUUCAUUUUUUCCUCUGAGAAUUGAAAAAUAUAAUUUCAUAAUCACUGUA